rnacentral:rRNA from 1 species
GAUGAACGCUGGCGGCGUGCUUAACACAUGCAAGUCGAGCGAAGCGAUUUUAAGGAAGCCUUCGGGUGGAAUUAAAAUCGACUUAGCGGCGGACGGGUGAGUAACGCGUGGGUAACCUGCCUCAUACAGGGGGAUAACAGUUAGAAAUGACUGCUAAUACCGCAUAAGCGCACAGUGCUGCAUAGCACAGUGUGAAAAACUCCGGUGGUAUGAGAUGGACCCGCGUCUGAUUAGGUAGUUGGUGAGGUAACGGCCCACCAAGCCGACGAUCAGUAGCCGACCUGAGAGGGUGACCGGCCACAUUGGGACUGAGACACGGCCCAAACUCCUACGGGAGGCAGCAGUGGGGAAUAUUGGACAAUGGGGGAAACCCUGAUCCAGCGACGCCGCGUGACUGAAGAAGUAUUUCGGUAUGUAAAGGUCUAUCAGCAGGGAAGAAAAUGACGGUACCUGACUAAGAAGCCCGGCUAACUACGUGCCAGCAGCCGCGGUAA